CAGGAUUCCCUAGUAACUGCGAGUGAAGCGGGAAAAGCUCAAAUUUAAAAUCUGGUAGUCUCUGGCUGCCCGAGUUGUAAUCUAGAGAAGCGUUAUCCGCGCUGGACCGUGUAUAAGUCUCCUGGAAUGGAGCGUCAUAGAGGGUGAGAAUCCCGUCUUUGACACGGACUACCAGGGCUUUGUGAUGCGCUCUCAAAGAGUCGAGUUGUUUGGGAAUGCAGCUCUAAAUGGGUGGUAAAUUCCAUCUAAAGCUAAAUAUUGGCGAGAGACCGAUAGCGAACAAGUACCGUGAGGGAAAGAUGAAAAGAACUUUGGAAAGAGAGUUAAACAGUACGUGAAAUUGUUGAAAGGGAAACGCUUGAAGUCAGUCGCGUUGGCUAGGAAUCAGCCUUGCUUUUGCUUGGUGUACUUCCUUGUUGACGGGUCAGCAUCAAUUUUGACCGGUGGAAAAAGGCUAGUGGAAUGUGGCAUCUUCGGAUGUGUUAUAGCUGCUAGUUGUAUACAUCGGUUGGGAUUGAGGAACUCAGCACGCCGAAAGGUCGGGGUUUUGCCCACGUUCGUGCUUAGGAUGCUGGCAUAAUGGCUUUAAUCGACCCGUCUUGAAACACGGACCAAGGAGUCUAACAUGCCUGCGAGUGUUUGGGUGGAAAACCCGAGCGCGUAAUGAAAGUGAAAGUUGAGAUCCCUGUCGUGGGGAGCAUCGACGCCCGGACCAGACCUUUUGUGACGGAUCCGCGGUAGAGCAUGUAUGUUGGGACCCGAAAGAUGGUGAACUAUGCCUGAAUAGGGUGAAGCCAGAGGAAACUCUGGUGGAGGCUCGUAGCGAUUCUGACGUGCAAAUCGAUCGUCAAAUUUGGGUAUAGGGGGCGAAAGACUAAUCGAAACCAUCUAAGUAGCUGGGUUCCUGCCGAAGUUUCCCCUCA
rnacentral:rRNA from 1 species